GGUUUUUUCGCUCUCUCGCUUCUCCUUAUCAACUUGACAGUGGUGCAGAUAUUUAGCAACUGGAGGGUUUGAUUAGAUACGCGGCAAGGAAUAUUGAUUUCUGUGGCAAAGGGAUUGAUUUCCGUCUCAAAUCAAUAUUCUGUCUCUAACCUGCAUUUGAUCAAUCGGCACGAGGUUAUUGAGCUUCCUCGAAGAUAGACAAAGCUCGAGCUUUCUGGAGAUGACGAUCUUCUUCAUUUUAAGAGAAUUAAGAUUGGGUAUCUGCCCCUGAGGAUUCUUAGCAACAUCGGCUCCUCAAAUUUGUUAGAUCAUGCCGAAGAGAUUUGUAUAAUCUCAAGUCCAGAAAGUAGUUGAUUCUUUCCAUCUUCGGGGAGCCGCUAUCACCAUCUCGAUUCACUGUUAGUCAAAGUCAACCUCAACGAUCAAAAUCAAGAACAGUAAAAGCUUGGUAAGAUUUCAACCAAGCAAAAUCAAGAUGAAUAUCAUAGUUGUUCAUCUUUUGUUCAUAUACCCAACGUGAUUACCUUUAAUUCACUUUUCGUUUUCAUGUUUUCAGUUGUAGUAAUUGAUUUAUCAGCUUUUAUAAUCUUUCA